rnacentral:rRNA from 1 species
GGAGUUAGCCGGUGCUUCUUCUGUGAGUGAUGUCCUUCCUGCCGGCUAUUAACCCGCAGGCCUUCUUCCUCACUGAAAGUGCUUUACAACCCGAAGGCCUUCUUCACACACGCGGCAUGGCUGGAUCAGGGUUGCCCCCAUUGUCCAAUAUUCCCCACUGCUGCCUCCCGUAGGAGUCUGGGCCGUGUCUCAGUCCCAGUGUGGCUGAUCAUCCUCUCAGACCAGCUACGGAUCGUCGACUUGGUGAGCCGUUACCUCACCAACCAGCUAAUCCGACAUAGGCUCAUCCGAUAGCGCGAGGACCGAAGGUCCCCCGNUUUCCCCCGUAGGGCGUAUGCGGUAUUAGCCUGGGUUUCCCCAGGUUAUCCCCCACUACCGGGCAGAUUCCUAUGCAUUAACUCACCCGUCCGCCGCUCGCCACCAGGGAGCAAGCUCCCCGUGCUGCCGCUCGACUUGCAUGUGUAGCUGCCGCCAGCGUCAUCUGAGCCAGAAUACAACUACUGA